CUACGGGAUGCACCAGUGAGGAAUUUUGCGCAAUGGGGGAAACCCUGACGCAGCAACGCCGCGUGAGUGAAGAAGGCCUUUGGGUCGUAAAGCUCUGUCAACAGGGAAGAAGUUACAAUUGUUUAAUAGAUGAUUGUAUUGACGGUACCUGUGGAGGAAGCGCCGGCUAGCUCCGUGCCAGCAGCCGCGGUAACACGGGGGGCGCAAGCGUUGUUCGGAAUUAUUGGGCGUAAAGGGCGCGCAGGCGGUCUUGUCGGUCAGGUGUGAAAGCUCGGGGCGCAACCCCGGAAGUGCACUUGAAACAGAAAGGCUUGAAUACGGGAGAGGCAAGCGGAAUUCCUGGUGUAGAGGUGAAAUUCGUAGAUAUCAGGAGGAACACCGAUGGCGAAGGCAGCUUUCUGGACCGAUAUUGACGCUGAGGCGCGAAGGCGUGGGGAGCGAACGGGAUUAGAUACCCCCGUAGUC
rnacentral:rRNA from 1 species